CCAGCCUCAGUUUUAGGAAUGUUCGAAUGAGGGCGUUCAGCUGCACUUAAAAUUCUACAAAAUACAUUAUUUGUUUCCCCUAAUUUUACACUUACAGGAAUAGGGGCCUCUAUUCCCAACUCCUGACAAACCGCUACUGAAUCUUGUACAGCCAUUGGAUAUGGAUUCAAGUCAUCCUUGGCUGCAAUAAGAAGGCAAGGCACCCCAUAACCACUUUCUUCACAUCGCCUAGCUAACUCCACAAGCAGUUCACAAGAUCUUUUCCAUGAAUAUUCAUCCGAACUGUCAUAGAGAAAUAUAGCGAC
rnacentral:misc_RNA from 1 species